rnacentral:rRNA from 1 species
GCGUGUGUGAAGAAGGCCUUCGGGUUGUAAAGCACUUUCAGUCAGGAGGAAAGGUUAGUAGUUAAUACCUGCUAGCUGUGACGUUACUGACAGAAGAAGCACCGGCUAACUCCGUGCCAGCAGCCGCGGUAAUACGGAGGGUGCGAGCGUUAAUCGGAAUUACUGGGCGUAAAGCGUACGCAGGCGGUUUGUUAAGCGAGAUGUGAAAGCCCCGGGCUCAACCUGGGAACUGCAUUUCGAACUGGCAAACUAGAGUGUGAUAGAGGGUGGUAGAAUUUCAGGUGUAGCGGUGAAAUGCGUAGAGAUCUGAAGGAAUACCGAUGGCGAAGGCAGCCACCUGGGUCAACACUGACGCUCAUGUACGAAAGCGUGGGGAGCAAACAGGAUUAAAUACCCUGGUAGUCCACGCCGUAAACGAUGUCUACUAGAAGCUCGGAACCUCGGUUCUGUUUUUCAAAGCUAACGCAUUAAGUAGACCGCCUGGGGAGUACGGCCGCAAGGUUAAAACUCAAAUGAAUUGACGGGGGCCCGCACAAGCGGUGGAGCAUGUGGUUUAAUUCGAUGCAACGCGAAGAACCUUACCUACACUUGACAUACAGAGAACUUACCAGAGAUGGUUUGGUGCCUUCGGGAACUCUGAUACAGGUGCUGCAUGGCUGUCGUCAGCUCGUGUUGUGAGAUGUUGGGUUAAGUCCCGCAACGAGCGCAACCCCUAUCCUUAGUUGCUAGCAGGUAAUGCUGAGAACUCUAAGGAGACUGCCGGUGAUAAACCGGAGGAAGGUGGGGACGACGUCAAGUCAUCAUGGCCCUUACGUGUAGGGCUACACACGUGCUACAAUGGCGCAUACAGAGUGCUGCGAACUCGCGAGAGUAAGCGAAUCACUUAAAGUGCGUCGUAGU